AGAGUUUGAUCCUGGCUCAGGACGAACGCUGGCGGCGUGCCUAAUACAUGCAAGUCGAGCGAACAGAGAAGGAGCUUGCUCCUUCGACGUUAGCGGCGGACGGGUGAGUAACACGUGGGCAACCUACCUUAUAGUUUGGGAUAACUCCGGGAAACCGGGGCUAAUACCGAAUAAUCUGUUUCACCUCAUGGUGAAACACUGAAAGACGGUUUCGGCUGUCGCUAUAGGAUGGGCCCGCGGCGCAUUAGCUAGUUGGUGAGGUAACGGCUCACCAAGGCGACGAUGCGUAGCCGACCUGAGAGGGUGAUCGGCCACACUGGGACUGAGACACGGCCCAGACUCCUACGGGAGGCAGCAGUAGGGAAUCUUCCACAAUGGGCGAAAGCCUGAUGGAGCAACGCCGCGUGAGUGAAGAAGGAUUUCGGUUCGUAAAACUCUGUUGUAAGGGAAGAACAAGUACAGUAGUAACUGGCUGUACCUUGACGGUACCUUAUUAGAAAGCCACGGCUAACUACGUGCCAGCAGCCGCGGUAAUACGUAGGUGGCAAGCGUUGUCCGGAAUUAUUGGGCGUAAAGCGCGCGCAGGUGGUUUCUUAAGUCUGAUGUGAAAGCCCACGGCUCAACCGUGGAGGGUCAUUGGAAACUGGGAGACUUGAGUGCAGAAGAGGAUAGUGGAAUUCCAAGUGUAGCGGUGAAAUGCGUAGAGAUUUGGAGGAACACCAGUGGCGAAGGCGACUAUCUGGUCUGUAACUGACACUGAGGCGCGAAAGCGUGGGGAGCAAACAGGA
rnacentral:rRNA from 1 species